rnacentral:rRNA from 1 species
UACGUAGGGGGCUAGCGUUGUCCGGAUUUAUUGGGCGUAAAGAGCGUGUAGGCGGCCACACAGGUCUGCUGUGAAAACUCGAGGCUCAACCUCGAGCUGUCGGUGGAAACCGCGUGGCUAGAGUCCGGAAGAGGAGAGUGGAAUUCCCGGUGUAGCGGUGAAAUGCGCAGAUAUCGGGAAGAACACCCGUGGCGAAGGCGGCUCUCUGGGACGGUACUGACGCUGAGACGCGAAAGCGUGGGGAGCGAACAGG